GGCGAACGGGUGAGUAAUAUAUCGGAACGUACCCAAGAGUGGGGGAUAACGUAGCGAAAGUUACGCUAAUACCGCAUACGAUCCAAGGAUGAAAGCAGGGGACCUUCGGGCCUUGUGCUCCUGGAGCGGCCGAUAUCUGAUUAGCUAGUUGGUGAGGUAAAGGCUCACCAAGGCGACGAUCAGUAGCUGGUCUGAGAGGACGACCAGCCACACUGGAACUGAGACACGGUCCAGACUCCUACGGGAGGCAGCAGUGGGGAAUUUUGGACAAUGGGCGCAAGCCUGAUCCAGCAAUGCCGCGUGAGUGAAGAAGGCCUUCGGGUUGUAAAGCUCUUUUGUCAGGGAAGAAACGGYUGUGGCUAAUAUCCAYGGCUAAUGACGGUACCUGAAGAAUAAGCACCGGCUAACUACGUGCCAGCAGCCGCGGUAAUACGUAGGGUGCAAGCGUUAAUCGGAAUUACUGGGCGUAAAGCGUGCGCAGGCGGUUUUGUAAGUCUGACGUGAAAUCCCCGGGCUCAACCUGGGAAUUGCGAUGGAGACUGCAAGGCUAGAAUCUGGCAGAGGGGGGUAGAAUUCCACGUGUAGCAGUGAAAUGCGUAGAGAUGUGGAGGAACACCGAUGGCGAAGGCAGCCCCCUGGGUCAAGAUUGACGCUCAUGCACGAAAGCGUGGGGAGCAAACAGGAUUAGAUACCCUGGUAGUCCACGCCCUAAACGAUGUCUACUAGUUGUCGGGUUUUAAUUAACUUGGUAACGCAGCUAACGCGUGAAGUAGACCGCC
rnacentral:rRNA from 1 species